GUAGGUGGCAAGCGUUGUCCGGAAUUAUUGGGCGUAAAGCGCGCGCAGGCGGUCCUUUAAGUCUGAUGUGAAAGCCCACGGCUCAACCGUGGAGGGUCAUUGGAAACUGGGGGACUUGAGUACAGAAGAGGAAAGCGGAAUUCCACGUGUAGCGGUGAAAUGCGUAGAGAUGUGGAGGAACACCAGUGACGAAGGCGGCUUUUCUGGUCUGUAACUGACGCUGAGGCGCGAAAGCGUGGGGAGCAAACAGGGAUUAGAUACCCUGGUAGUCCACGCCGUAAACGAUGAGUGCUAAGUGUUAGGGGGGUUUCCGCCCCCUUAGUGCUGCAGCUAACGCAUUAAGCACUCCGCCUGGGGAUACGGCCGCAAGGCUG
rnacentral:rRNA from 1 species